rnacentral:rRNA from 1 species
UACGUAUGGUGCAAGCGUUAUCCGGAUUUACUGGGUGUAAAGGGUGCGUAGGUGGUAUGGCAAGUCAGAAGUGAAAGGCUGGGGCUCAACCCCGGGACUGCUUUUGAAACUGUCAAACUAGAGUACAGGAGAGGAAAGCGGAAUUCCUUGUGUAGCGGUGAAAUGCGUAGAUAUCACGAAGAACUCCGAUCGCGAAGGCAUUGUGCCGGGGCAGCACUGACGCUGAGGCUCGAAAGUGCGGGGAGCAAACAGG